CCUCCACACAGAGCCCAUCCGUCUUCCCCUUGACCCGCUGCUGCAAAAACAUUCCCUCCAAUGCCACCUCCGUGACUCUGGGCUGCCUGGCCACGGGCUACUUCCCGGAGCCGGUGAUGGUGACCUGGGACACAGGCUCCCUCAACGGGACAACUAUGACCUUACCAGCCACCACCCUCACGCUCUCUGGUCACUAUGCCACCAUCAGCUUGCUGACCGUCUCGGGUGCGUGGGCCAAGCAGAUGUUCACCUGCCGUGUGGCACACACUCCAUCGUCCACAGACUGGGUCGACAACAAAACCUUCAGCGUCUGCUCCAGGGACUUCACCCCGCCCACCGUGAAGAUCUUACAGUCGUCCUGCGACGGCGGCGGGCACUUCCCCCCGACCAUCCAGCUCCUGUGCCUCGUCUCUGGGUACACCCCAGGGACUAUCAACAUCACCUGGCUGGAGGACGGGCAGGUCAUGGACGUGGACUUGUCCACCGCCUCUACCACGCAGGAGGGUGAGCUGGCCUCCACACAAAGCGAGCUCACCCUCAGCCAGAAGCACUGGCUGUCAGACCGCACCUACACCUGCCAGGUCACCUAUCAAGGUCACACCUUUGAGGACAGCACCAAGAAGUGUGCAGAUUCCAACCCGAGAGGGGUGAGCGCCUACCUAAGCCGGCCCAGCCCGUUCGACCUGUUCAUCCGCAAGUCGCCCACGAUCACCUGUCUGGUGGUGGACCUGGCACCCAGCAAGGGGACCGUGAACCUGACCUGGUCCCGGGCCAGUGGGAAGCCUGUGAACCACUCCACCAGAAAGGAGGAGAAGCAGCGCAAUGGCACGUUAACCGUCACGUCCACCCUGCCGGUGGGCACCCGAGACUGGAUCGAGGGGGAGACCUACCAGUGCAGGGUGACCCACCCCCACCUGCCCAGGGCCCUCAUGCGGUCCACGACCAAGACCAGCGGCCCGCGUGCUGCCCCGGAAGUCUAUGCGUUUGCGACGCCGGAGUGGCCGGGGAGCCGGGACAAGCGCACCCUCGCCUGCCUGAUCCAGAACUUCAUGCCUGAGGACAUCUCGGUGCAGUGGCUGCACAACGAGGUGCAGCUCCCGGACGCCCGGCACAGCACGACGCAGCCCCGCAAGACCAAGGGCUCCGGCUUCUUCGUCUUCAGCCGCCUGGAGGUGACCAGGGCCGAAUGGGAGCAGAAAGAUGAGUUCAUCUGCCGUGCAGUCCAUGAGGCAGCAAGCCCCUCACAGACCGUCCAGCGAGCGGUGUCUGUAAAUCCCGGUAAAUGA